ACCAAAGAUGUAGAUUCAGGCCAAGGCAAACUGCUACAGCCUCUCCUAGCUUGUCUCUUUUUCCUUAUUAGUAACUUUCCAUCUUUCUUGAUCCCACUUUGGUGUUGCUUGGCUACAGUUGUCUCGUUUUUCAUCUGCGAAAUAUUAGAAGAAGAAAAAAUAAUCUAGGUCAUAAUUUGACAAAUGGCAGAAGGAAGAAGCCAGAGAAAAAAUGCAAAGAGAAAAUAUCAGAUUAAAUGGAGAAUAUUGCUGGUGGUGCUGAUGAUGGUGAAAGAUAGUGAGCAAGUCCCACUCUCUCAGCUUCAGAAGAUGACAAUGGCAAAUUUCCUUUGAACAAAUCUUGCCAAGAAAACCUUGUGAUAGGUUCACCUUAGGGUUGCCAUAAGUUGGAAAUAACUUGA